ACCGAGGAUUGUAACUUGUACGCGAGUCAAGGGGUGGAAAACCCCAUGGCGAAAUGAAAUAAAGUUUGGUUAAUCGGCCGACAUGGGAUCCGCUUUUCGAAGCGGUGCAUCAUGGCCUGUCUCGUCUGCUUGCAGAUGGGCAGCGGUAGAGCGUACAGGUUCCGACUCGAAGGAUGGUGAACUAUGCCUGAGCAGGACAAAGUCGGAGGAAACUCUGAUGAAAGUCCAUAUCGGUUCUGACGUGCAAAUGGAUCGGUAGACUUGGGAACAGGGGCGAAAGAGACCAUCUAGUAGCUGAUUCCCUCCGAAGUUUCCCCCAGGAUAGCUGGAGUUCUUUGCGGUUAUAUCCGGAAAAGUGAAUGAUUAGAGAACUUGGGGUCGGAACGACCUCAACCCAUCCUCAAACUUUCAAUGGGUAUGUUGUCUCGGUAUCUUCGUUGAACUGUUGACACAAACGCGAGCUCCAAGUGGGCAAUAUUUGGUAAGCAGAGCUGGCGCUAUGGGAUGAACCAAACGUUGGGUUAAGGUGCCUAACUUAUCGCUCAUGAUACCCUGUAAAAUGAGUUGGUUGAUAUAGACAGCAGGACGGUGGCCGUGGAAGUCGUACUAGCUAAAGAGUGUGAAAAUUCACCUGCCGAAUCAACUAGCCCUGAAAAUGGAUGGCGCUCGAGCGAGAGACCUAUACCCAGCCGUUGCUGGCUUUUGCGUUGUCUAGCGCCUGACCGCAACGAGAAGGAGAGUCGUGGCGGUUGCGUCGAAGGCUUUGGGCGUAGGCUCAGCUGGAGCUUCCGUCACUGCAGAUCUCGGUGGUGGUAGCAAAUAUUUAGAUUCGAUCCUUGGAGACUGAAGUGGAGAAGGGUUCCACGUGAACAGUACUUGAAUGUGGGUUAGUCGAUCGGCGAUUGCGGCUUUCUAAGUCGCUUGCCCGAUAACGCAUUCGAACUUGGUUACGUCGCUCAGGAACUGAGCCAGAGUCCUUUAGUUAAGGAGCGGACUCCCUGGAACUCGUGUUCUCUGGGCGACCCACGAGAAACCAAGGGAGGCUUUUAAUCUGUGCUGCAUCGUACCAAUAUCCGCAUCACGUCUCCAAGGUGAGCAGCCUCUAGUC
rnacentral:ncRNA from 1 species